rnacentral:lncRNA from 1 species
AGAUCAAAACAGUAGCAACCCUUCAACAUUUCCUGCAAAAAAAUAAAAUACUCAUCAAAUUAAAGCAAAACUCUUCCCAAUAACAUGCAACAAAAAACAAAAAAAAACCCACUCAAACAAUUUUGGGAAAUAAUAAGAUCCAUCAUUGAGUUCCCUUUACAAAUGUUUAAGAAAAAAACCAAAAUCUUAAAAUAUUCUUCCCAUUUCCUUUCUCAUUAGAGAAUGGCAGAGUUAAAAUAGAAAAAGAAAAUAAUCAACUGAUGAAAUCAUAUCAACGGCAAGGCUUUUAGUUCACUGAGAGUUAAGAACACUAAACCCUUCACUCACCAAAAAACCUAGAUAGAGUUUCUCAAGAAUCAAAUUGAUUUCUGUCUAACACAAAAACUUCAAAAAAAAAUGGUUGUUUUCUGGUUUUGAUAAUAUAAUAAUAACAGAAGAACUAAAAAAAAAAAAAAAGAAGAAUAAGAAAUAAAGGGAGAAAAAAAUUUUGCAUUACCUUCGUGGUGAGGAAAGCGUGAGGGAAAACAGAAAGGAAUGAUAAAAGUAUUAAGUUGGAUUAAAAGAGGGUUCGAUUGAAAGAGAGAGAGUCUCAGCUAUGCGAAGAAAGAGAGAGAAACAAGAGCAUGUGUAAACAACAAUCGAUGGCUCAAUGCAUUGCUAGAAGACCGGCAAACCAAC